AUGCUCAGCCUCUCCGACCGAGCCAGCAGCUCCACCACCUCAUGGAGUGACUCGAUGUUGUCGACCCUGAUCGUUGAUACUUCUUGUAGUCCUUGCAUUACAAGGAUAUUGCUCAGCAUCUCCACGGCAUCUUCAAUCAGUAGGCAUACCAACCUUUCCAAUCUAACUAUAGAUGCAGGCAGAUUUCUCAGGUUAGUGUGCCUGACAUCUAGCGUCUCCAAGUGCUCCAGCUUUCCUAUUUCGUCUGGUAAUGCACGGAUAGCAGACCCUCUAAGCCCCAGGUACCUUAGCAGAACCAACCCUCCAAUGCCUUUCAGAUGGUGGCUUCUCAAAUUGUCAUUAUCUUCCAGAUCGAGUACCCGUAAAUUUUUGAAGGUUGACAGAAGAGGGAUCCCCUCAGUAUCCCCAACAGGCCCAAAGACUUGGAGGGUCCGCAUGCUAGAAAGGUGCAGGGUUCUUAAGUCCAAUGUGUUCACUUCAUCUUGCUUACUGCAGUAA
rnacentral:rRNA from 1 species